AGCGAACGCUGGCGGCAGGCCUAACACAUGCUAGUCGAACGAACCUUUCGGGGUUAGUGGCGGACGGGGGAGUAACACGUGGGAACGUGCCUUUAGGCUCGGAAUAACUCAGGGAAACUUGUGCUAAUACCGAAUGUGCCCUUCGGGGGAAAGAUUCAUCGCCUUUAGAGCGGCCCGCGACCGACUAGCUAGUUGGUUGAGGUAAUGGCUCACCAAGGCGACGAUCAGUAGCUGGUCUGAGAGGAUGAUCAGCCACAUUGGGACUGAGACACGGCCCAAACUCCUACGGGAGGCAGCAGUGGGGAAUCUUGCGCAAUGGGCGGAAGCCUGACGCAGCCAUGCCGCGUGAAUGAUGAAGGUCUGAGGAUUGUAAAAUUCUUUCACCGGGGACGAUAAUGACGGUACCCGGAGAAGAAGCCCCGGCUAACUUCGUG
rnacentral:rRNA from 1 species